GCAUAACUCAAUGUUUAUUGCCCAGUCUGGACCAAUCAGCAUGUCAUUAGUCGCCCUCUCAGCACACGCUGCCGCAUUAUUAGCCAUAAUUGUACUGAACCUUAAGUCCCUGAUCACUGUGUCCUAAUAGCAAAACCGAUACACAAAAAACAAUCAAUCAUAAAUUUCAAUCCUUGACAUCAAAUUAAAAGUAAAAGAUUAUAACUUGUUAUCAUGCAAACACGAAAUCAGAUCAAUAAAUCAUCAAAAAGAAACUAAAAAUCGAAGCUUCCAAUCAAACAGAGCUUCGUAUACAAAAAGACUAAAUGGGUUGGGAUCUAGAGAGAAGCUUACCAGUGAAGAACACCCAGAAGGAGAAUCAGAAAAAGAUAAAAUCACGUAAUGGGUAUAUGCAGAAAAAGGGGAUUAUAAGAGAGAGAAUUUAGGGAUUGAUUGAAUUGUGCUUUUUUGUUUGGUGUUAUUUUGCUUUGCGU
rnacentral:lncRNA from 1 species